rnacentral:rRNA from 1 species
UACGGAGGGAGCUAGCGUUGUUCGGAUAUACUGGGCGUAAAGCGCACGUAGGCGGCGCAGCAAGUCAGGGGUGAAAUCCCGGAGCUCAACUCCGGAACUGCCUUUGAAACUGCAGUGCUAGAAUUCUGGAGAGGCGAGUGGAAUUCCGAGUGUAGAGGUGAAAUUCGUAGAUAUUCGGAAGAAACACCAGUGGCGAAGGCGACUUACUGGACACAUAUUGACGCUGAGGUGCGAAAGCGUGGG